GAUGAACGCUGGCGGCGUGCCUAAUACAUGCCAGUCGAACGCUGAAGGAAGGAGCUUGCUCUUUCCGGAUGAGUUGCGAACGGGUGAGUAACGCGUAGGUAACCUGCCUGGUAGCGGGGGAUAACUAUUGGAAACGAUAGCUAAUACCGCAUAACAGUAGAUGUUGCAUGACAACUAUUUGAAAGGGGCAAUUGCUCCACUACCAGAUGGACCUGCGUUGUAUUAGCUAGUUGGUGAGGUAACGGCUCACCAAGGCGACGAUACAUAGCCGACCUGAGAGGGUGAUCGGCCACACUGGGACUGAGACACGGCCCAGACUCCUACGGGAGGCAGCAGUAGGGAAUCUUCGGCAAUGGACGGAAGUCUGACCGAGCAACGCCGCGUGAGUGAAGAAGGUUUUCGGAUCGUAAAGCUCUGUUGUAAGAGAAGAACGAGUGUGAGAGUGGAAAGUUCACACUGUGACGGUAUCUUACCAGAAAGGGACGGCUAACUACGUG
rnacentral:rRNA from 1 species